rnacentral:rRNA from 1 species
AGAGGCCACUGCUAUCAGAGUUCGAUUAAGCCAUGCGAGUUGAGAGGUGCAAGACCUCGGCAUACUGCUCAGUAACACGUGGACAACCUACCCUACAGAAGGGGAUAACCCCGGGAAACUGGGGAUAAUACCCUAUAGACUAUGGAUGCUGGAAUGCUCCGUAGUUGAAAGGUCCGCCGCUGUAGGAUGGGUCUGCGGCCGAUUAGGUUGUUGUUGGGGUAACGGCCCAACAAGCCUGUAAUCGGUACGGGUUGUGGGAGCAAGAGCCCGGAGAUGGAUUCUGAGACACGAAUCCAGGCCCUACGGGGCGCAGCAGGCGCGAAAACUUUACAAUGCGGGAAACCGUGAUAAGGGAACUCUGAGUGCCCGUAAAAUCGGGCUGUCCAUCAGUUUAAAUAACUGGUGAAGAAAGGGCCGGGCAAGACCGGUGCCAGCCGCCGCGGUAAUACCGGCGGCUCGAGUGGUGGCCACUAUUACUGGGCUUAAAGCGUUCGUAGCUGGUUUGUUAAGUCUCUGGGGAAAUCUUCCGGCUUAACCGGAAGGCGUCUCAGGGAUACUGGCAGACUAGGGACCGGAAGAGGUGAGAGGUACUCCAGGGGUAGGAGUGAAAUCCUGUAAUCCUUGGGGGACCACCUGUGGCGAAGGCGUCUCACCAGAACGGCUCCGACAGUGAGGGACGAAAGCUGGGGGAGCAAACCGGAUUAGAUACCCGGGUAGUCCCAGCCGUAAACGAUGUGCAUUAGGUGUAUCGGUGACCACGAGUCACCGAGGUGCCGAAGAGAAAUCGUGAAAUGCACCGCCUGGGAAGUACGGUCGCAAGGCUGAAACUUAAAGGAAUUGGCGGGGGAGCACCACAACGGGUGGAGCUUGCGGUUUAAUUGGAUUCAACGCCGGAAAUCUU